rnacentral:lncRNA from 1 species
CUAGUUAAUCAUACAAAGAGAAAGGAACUGGUGACCUCCAGUAUGAACAUUGGUAUGUACUUUUAAAAUUGCAAAAGAGCGUCAUAUAAAGUAAGAAACACCACUUACCUGUCCCACCCCCACUCUUAACACUUGGUGAGCUCCAUGUUUCAGCACAGUUCCUUGGUGGCUAUGACAUCAAGACUAGAACAGGCUGGACCCCACUCACUGAGAGCUUAUUAGGAGGGGCUGAAAUUGGAAAGAAACGUUAUAUACCUCAUUCAUAUCUUCUGUAUCAUAAAACCUGUAACUGUGUAGGUCUCUACAGCAGCUAAUUCUGAAGACUGGAAAUGCUGGUAUCAUGGGUUUAUCAUCAUGACCAACAAGUGAUAUCUUAACAAAGUUACUUGAAAUGAUGGAUAUUAAGAUGAUUACAUCACAAACUAACCUCUAUUUCUACAAAAAGCCCACCAGGAUAAGUGUUUUUAUAAAGACUAUGGCAAAACUAACUUUAAUGAAGAAGGAGGAAUACAGUUCAUAAGCCUAAGUACCAAAGGUGACCAAUUCUCUGUUCUUAAGUUUUACCAUAGGAUGUGCAGAAGUUAUUUACCACAGAAAGCAAAAGGAAGCAAGCAGGUGUCUUCAUGGAAUUAAUGAAUUAUAGUUGAAAAGUUGACCUUAAAUGGAGUCCUAUUUGGAAACCAAAUGCCUUAAGCAGAACACUGAUAAACUUUGAGUAAAGUCAACUGGCCUGUCAAAAAGCACAGGGCACAACUUGCACCACCUACUUCACAUUUCUUGUCACCUUUCUGUAACCAAGAGAAAUCAACAGAACACAAAGCAAUCCAGUUGCAUACACAGCAGUGGCAGCAUGGCGCAGGCUAUCAAUUGCUCAUGGAGAAGAGUUUACUUCUAAUCUGAGACAUAAAACUUACUGAAGACAUCUCCUCAGUCACAGUCUCAGUCCCGAACAGCCGAUUUAAAGUCAACAGCAAAAGCACACCAACCUUGUCUGACACAUCAACUAAGGACUUGAGACUCAUCUGCAUCUCCCAAUAAACCAUCAUGGUGCAUUCCAGAAACGUUUCAAAUAAUCAUGUUACAGAAUAAGCAUGUUUUUAUGUACAUACAUAUGGUUAGUGAGCACUAGGAUGUCCCAAGAUGUACAACUGCGAAUGCCAGGAACUCCGGUAGCCAGAGUGUAGACAAAGAAAACUUUACAUCUUUCAUGAAUUAAGGCCCUCAUCAAACUACUGUGAUAUAAUCAGCUACAGAAGUACGCAUUAAACCAUAACUAAAAGAAGAAAUACCUUAA